UACAGAGGGUGCGAGCGUUAAUCGGAAUUACUGGGCGUAAAGCGUGCGUAGACGGCUAUCUAAGUCGGGUGUGAAAGCCCCGGGCUCAACCUGGGAAUUGCAUUCGAGACUGAAUAGCUAGGGUACGGUAGAGGGAAGUGGAAUUUCCGGUGUAGCGGUGAAAUGCGCAGAUAUCAGGAGGAACACCAAUAGCGAAGGCAGCUCGCUGGGACGGUACUGACGCUGAGGCGCGAAAGCGUGGGGAGCAAACAGG
rnacentral:rRNA from 1 species